rnacentral:rRNA from 1 species
AUACGGAGGAUCCGAGCGUUAUCCGGAUUUAUUGGGUUUAAAGGGAGCGUAGGUGGAUUGUUAAGUCAGUUGUGAAAGUUUGCGGCUCAACCGUAAAAUUGCAGUUGAAGCUGGCAGUCUUGAGUACAGUAGAGGUGGGCGGAAUUCGUGGUGUAGCGGUGAAAUGCUUAGAUAUCACGAAGAACUCCGAUUGCGAAGGCAGCUCACUAGACUGUUACUGACACUGAUGCUCGAAAGUGUGGGUAUCAAACAGGAUUAGAUACCCUGGUAGUCCACACAGUAAACGAUGAAUACUCGCUGUUUGCGAUAUACAGUAAGCGGCCAAGCGAAAGCAUUAAGUAUUCCACCUGGGGAGUACGACCGCAAGGUUGAAACUUAAAGGAAUUGACGGGG